GUGCAAUCGCGCAAUUACGAAGUUAUAGAGUAAGCUACAGGUGGUCGCGGUUUCUUUUACGAGUUUAUUCUAACACUAUCGAGGGAGCUGGAUGUUGACACAGGAUUGUGUUGAUUAGCGAGUGUGGCUAAGUUGAUGCGCCACGCGUUUAGACGAGGCCUGGUAGCGCAGGGGUGAUUAUAUUAGUGUACACCGUUAGGAACAUCUGGAAAAAUUCUGACAGAGUUUCUCCAUUCACGUUCCAGACCUGCCUGAUUACUGAACUCUUGCUUGGAGCUUCUGCACUUCCUCACCUUCUGCUGCUCUGAAUGGUACCACCGUAAAGAAUUAGACUACCCAAAAAAAAAUUAUUCCUAAAUCUCAGGGAAUCUUAAUUGUAUAUUUCAGAUUUGCAUUCAAGAACUGCUGUAAUCAUGAAGACUGUCCCCUUUUAAACAGUUGUAGAAAACAUCUCACUAUUUGAAGUCAAGUCAAGAAGCUUUUAUUGUCAUUUAUAAAGCUGAAGCAGUACAUAGUGAAAUGACACAGAGUUUCUAAAUAUGACCACAAUCAUGUUCCCCAAACACUUUAAUUUCAUUUAAAAGUUAGCUUAAUACAUUUCCCUUAAAAAAAAACAAAAAAAACAAAGCGUCAUAGCUACCAGCCAAUCAGCAGCUAGGUAAAACUGUUAAUGCUCUGUGAUUGGCUACUUCCAACCAUUCCAGCCAAUAGCAUGUCAUAAUGGCUGUACUGUACAUAUGUGAUAUCAGCGAUGUUCAAUAUCAUUAAA